GACGAACGCUGGCGGCGUGCUUAACACAUGCAAGUCGAACGAAGAGCGACGGAAGCUUGCUUCUAUCAAUCUUAGUGGCGAACGGGUGAGUAACGCGUAAUCAACCUGCCCUUCAGAGGGGGACAACAGUUGGAAACGACUGCUAAUACCGCAUACGAUCUAACCUCGGCAUCGAGGAUAGAUGAAAGGUGGCCUCUACAUGUAAGCUAUCACUGAAGGUGGGGAUUGCGUCUGAUUAGCUAGUUGGAGGGGUAACGGCCCACCAAGGCGAUGAUCAGUAGCCGGUCUGAGAGGAUGAACGGCCACAUUGGGACUGAGACACGGCCCAGACUCCUACGGGAGGCAGCAGUGGGGAAUCUUCCGCAAUGGACGAAAGUCUGACGGAGCAACGCCGCGUGAGUGAUGACGGCCUUCGGGUUGUAAAGCUCUGUUAAUCGGGACGAAAGGCCUUCUUGCGAAUAGUGAGAAGGAUUGACGGUACCGGAAUAGAAAGCCACGGCUAACUACGUG
rnacentral:rRNA from 1 species